rnacentral:rRNA from 1 species
UUUUUAAUUGGGAUCUUGUAUGAAUGAUUGGACAAGAGAAAUACUGUCUUUGUGUUAAAACUUGAAUUUAACUUUUAAGUGAAAAGGCUUAAAUACACUAAAGGGACGAUAAGACCCUAUAAAACUUUACAUUUAUGUUAAAUUUUAUGGAAUUUGAAGAUUAUAAUUAUUAAAUUUAAUUUUUUGUUAUGUUGGGGAGACAAAAGCUAUAAUUAUAUAUAACUGCUUUUAAUGGAAACAAAAAUAAGUGAAGAAGAUUAGAGAUCCUUUAUUGAGAUUAUAAGAUUAAGUUACUUUAGGGAUAACAGCGUUAUUUUUUUUGAGAGUUCAUAUUGAAAAAAAAGAUUGCGACCUCGAUGUUGAAUUAAAAUAUCUUUAUAAUGCAGGUGUUAUAAAAGAAGGUCUGUUCGACCUUUAAUUUUUUA